CGGGAUUUUAUUGGCUGCAGACACACGCAGCAUCUUCUUGCGCUCCUCCUUGAGGUGGAUGGGCAGCUAGCUGCAGAUGGCACAGGAUGAUGCGCAUCUUUCGCACGCUGGCUCCAAGAUCUCCGCUGCCAGAUGCAGCAACAAAGCUUCUUUGUACAGACAGCCCUGGACACGCUUCCAGCAGCAAUUCUUCUUGCAGAAACUGGUGCAAGAUGACUUCAACAGAAGUGGAGUAAAUAAAGAUGAUCACAGAACUUGGAAGCUGACGAAAUUAAUUUUGGAAAAGAGCUAGCUUGGAGCAUGACAGAAGAAUGCGAUGGAAAGAGUGCUAGGAGCCCAACUCAAGACUGAUGUGUGCUUGGCAGGCAGUCUACCCCCGAUCUCAGUCCUCCAGCCUUUUGGCCUUUUUUCCUUUUUGGAGACAGAAUUGCAUCAUAUGGCAUCCUACACAGUCCUGCCUCAGUCUCUGGAGUGCUGGGAUUGUAGGCCUAUGCCACCUAGCCUUUCUACAAUACAAACAAAUAUGAAAAGAAGAGGGGCUUCUUUGGAAAGGAGUACAGGGACUAUGGAAGAGAUGAAAAGAUAAUAUUGUCAGAAAUUAUGCCGCUUUUGAAGAGAUAAACUGAACUCUUUUGAUUCUGUGAGGUUAUUAAAGAAUAUAAUUUUCAAAUCACGGUAAAAUCUUGAUUCAGCAACACAUGAGGAUAAUCAUUGUUUCCAUGGCAACCUUGGGAAACAGUUGAAAGUCUGGUCCCUCUUGCCUGGAGCAUUAACACAACGUGGCUGCAAAGUUAGUCCUUUCCCGCUACCAUCUCCUGAAUACUGGGACUAACUACACGUAUGCACGAACCUGCCCAUCUUUGCCUCUGUUAACAGCUGCCACUAUCUCUUCACGACAUGGUAGCUGACCUAGGUUGGAAGGAACAGAGCCAGUUGGCCAUGGACUGAAACUUUUGGAACUGAUUCUGAGGAGUUAAUGUUUCCAUGAAUAUCUCAGAAGGAGAUGUGGACAAACGAACAGUUAUCUCACUCCUGUAGGUUGGACUACAGUGAUCACUGAGUAGGAGCUUCGUCUUUAAAAUCUGGGGUGUGCUGUUAUGCAAUCUUCUUUCCCUGCCCAGUACUGGAUCUGUGAAAAGCUGAAUCAUGAAUCAGUGAGUGUGCGGAUUGGAACCCAAGUUGCUCUCUGGAUAGAACGAAAGGAGUGGUGCCCCAAGAAGAUGGAGAGGGAAGUUAUGAAAUGCUGUGACCAAAUAACAAAUGCUGACGUUUGGGGAGAUGAUUGUUUCCCGUAGGAAAUAGAGUGAAUCCCUCACCAAAGAAUUGUGAGGGAUUCAUAGACCACUUCUCAACGAUUGUUACAUGUUACUCCUUUUUUCGAGAUUUCUAUUUACCUAACUGGGAAAGAAACCAGAACAAGGUUUUCAUUGAAUUCUGAUACAGGUAUUUAAAGACUUAAGGACAAGAUAUAGAAGAAGUGGUAAUUAACUGUUUAAAGAAGUACAGUUUAUAUCCAGUAGACAGACAGGCUCCAGACAUCCUUAGUGCUGUCUUAGCAUCAAAGGUUAAUCUACCUAAUACUUGUCAUCCUGAAAUGCAUGGUGGAACAUCCAACAGACAAGAGCUACUUCAGGGAAGGACUAUGAUUUUUGUCGUGGAAGACAUUUAACACAGGGCAGCUCCUGUGCACUUACAUGAUAGAUAUUGCUCUUCCAGGGACUCUGAAUGCUCAUCCCACUUUCAGCUCACUAGGCACAUCGAACUAGAAAUUUUAUCAUCUCGUGAAUUAGUCCAAUACCUGAAGGAGCAAGAGAACCAACACCCAGUUGACAAGAAUAUGACCUGUUGAUUGAAGACCAUUAAGAAAGUAACUUGAUUCAAUUGGACUGGACUUUUUUAUUCUAUUGAAAAAGGAAUUUAUUUUCCCUCAGUGAACGUAACAUGAUCAACAUUUUGAAAGUUGUGAACAUGCAUAGUUCUAUAAUUUACAAAAUAAUUAUAAAAAUCUGAGUAUGGAUGCAGCGUAAUUUCAGAACAGAAUAGCCAUCAUACUUUUUAUAUAUCUUAAAUUCGAGUUUUCAAGAGUAUAUUUCUAUGUUAUAUCCUUUGAUUAGUACAAUAUAAAAUCUACAUCUAAUAUGUACUUCAGGUUUUAUUAGAUCAUGCCAUAUUACUGUACAAUUUGGACUUUUCCAUUUUUUAUAUAAAAUGUAACAUGCAUUGUAUAUUAAUAUUUAUAUAUCUUGUUUAUUUAUAUAUCUUUAGAAUUAAUUUCUGCCAAUUAUUUUCUUUAUUUGAAUACUUGGGGUAUCAUAAAGGUGCUGUUGAGGUAUUCUCAAUAUGCUUGUACAACUUCCUGCCUGUAGUUAAUAAAUGUGGAUAUUUCAUUAAACAAUUGAAAUAUAA
rnacentral:lncRNA from 1 species